AUCCUUUUUGAUCUGCGAAAUAAGAUUCAUUUAUGUUCCCCCAAACUGAUAAGUAGGUUUCCCAGGUGGGUGGCUCAGCGGUAAAGAAUCCGCCUGCCAAUGCAGAAGAAGCAGGUUUGAUCCCGGGGUUGAGAAGCUCCCCUGGAGAAGGAAAUGACAACCCACUUCAGUAUUCUUGCCUGGAGAAUCUCAUAGACAGAGGAGCCUGGCGGGGUCCACGGGGUCACGAAAAGAGCUGGACACAACUGAGCGACUAAACAACAAACUGAUAGGCAGGUGAAGGAAAUCUUUCCUUCUGACUGCACACAGCGGUUUUUCUCAGCACUAUCAUUCGGGGACGCUGAAACAUUACUUCUGGUGCCUGGUAGGAAAACGCCCCACCUCACCUCCGCCCCCGCAAUCUGAGCGCCGCCCCCCACCCACCGCCCCUGCAAUCUGAGGGGCCACAGAGGGGUAAAUACACUGGGAGUCACUGGAGCUUUCUCAGAGUCCUGGGGUGGGGGUUGGGGUGGGGUGGAACUGUUCGUUUGAAAUGUAAUAAAGGUUCCUCUCCACCAAACAGGGAGAAAAGCAAGGCUGUGAACACUUUAGAGUCAGCGCGGGAGGUCUUGUCGAUCCUAGCCUACCAACCAAUCAGCAGGGAUAGAUUCGACUCCGACUGCGAGCUCUUGGAUGCUAGAAGUUACCAAGGAUACGUAGGCUCUGCCCUGAAGGGAUGUGGAACCCAUUUGAAUCUGAAUCUAUGAAAUUGGAAGUUGAGUUGAAAAAAGCUUGGGAAGAGAAUUAGAAGAUCUGAGUCUGUGUCUACCUUUAGCCAAGUAACUUCCUUUCAUUGCGCCUCAGUUUCCUUAUCGGUGAAAUAAGAAUAAUGCCUGCUUUACCUAUCUCACACUGAUGUGGAGAGAAUAAGAUGAUUAGCAUGUGUGAGCAUGCUUAGGAAUGUGAAAAGCCUUAACAAAUUUAGGACGUAUUAUUUUAAAUGGAGUUUAAACACAUUCUGGCUUCAGGGGCAC
rnacentral:lncRNA from 1 species